UACGAAGGGGCUAGCGUUGCUCGGAAUCACUGGGCGUAAAGGGUGCGUAGGCGGGUUUUAAGUCAGGGUGAAAUCCUGGAGCUCAACUCCAGAACUGCCUUUGAUACUGAAGAUCUUGAGUCCGGAGAGGUGAGUGGAACUGCGAGUGUAGAGGUGAAAUUCGUAGAUAUUCGCAAGAACACCAGUGGCGAAGGCGGCUCACUGGCCCGGUACUGACGCUGAGGCACGAAGCGUGGGAGCAACAG
rnacentral:rRNA from 1 species